rnacentral:rRNA from 1 species
AGGUGGGCAGAUAAGUCAGUGGUGAAGUCUCCGAGCUUAACCCGGAAACUGCCGUUGAUACUAUUUGUCUUGAAUAUUGUGGAGGUGAGCGGAAUAUGUCAUGUAGCGGUGAAAUGCUUAGAUAUGACAUAGAACACCAAUUGCGAAGGCAGCUUACUACACAAUCAUUGACGCUGAGGCACGAAAGCGUGGGGAUCAAACAGG